GAGGGCGGGGAGGAGUGGAGCGGAUGGAGUUAUGCUGCCUGCCCGCCACCCAGGAGGGAGCGAAGAGAGCAGUCAGACGAGGAGGAGCAGGAGGAGGAGGACAGCCGUCACAUCUACAGGUGAGGUCAAACACCCACGUCAUGUGAUGGCGGAGAAAACAGAGAGGGUGGUGCUUUAUCGUCUUGUCCAAUAGAACAUGGAUUCCUUUUUGUUUCAUUAAGUUUUGCAACCUGUGACACCUGUCUGUUGUUCGUUCUCUGUCUGUCUGCCUGCCUGCCUGCCUGCCGGCCUGCCUGUCUGCCUUGUCUGUCUGUGCGAAGUCUGUCUGCUGUGCCUGGUCUGUCUGUCGUCGGGGGAUUUCUAUGAAGACUCGUAAACUCUGUGGACAUCAACUCUGAGGCGUUUUCUGCCCAUGCCUCCUGAGGUGAAACAUGAGAUCCUUAAAGACAUGAAGGAAUUCAGCAAGAGACGACGCACCCAUGUACCACACACCUCCUGAGGUACCACCACAACUCUGGGUAAAACCAUUACCACACCCACUGAGGUACACCCCCCCCCCUGAGGUUACACACCACCAGUACCACACCCCCCUGAGGUACACACCCCCCCUGAGGUACCACACACCCUGUCCACACCCCCCCUGAGGUACCACACCCACCCCUGAGGUACCACCCAACCCGCUGAGGGACCACACACCCCCUGAGGUACCACACACAUGUACCACAUCACCACCCCCUGAGGUACCACACCACCAUGUACCCACACCCCCCCUGAGGUACACACCCCCCCUGAUGUACCACACCCCUGAGGUACACACACACCAUGUCCCACACACCCCCGAGGUACCACACACCCCCUGAGGUCCCACACACCCCCUGAGGUCCACACACCCCCUGAGGUACCACACACCCCCUGAGGUACCACACCCAUGUACCACCACACACCCCCUGAGGUACCACACACCCCCUGAGGUACCACACCACCCCCCUGAGGUACCACACACCAGUACCCACACCCCCCUGACGGACACCCCACCCCCCCCCCCUGACUGGUACCACACACAUGUCCCACCCCCCCUGAGGUACCACACACCCCCGAGGUACCCACACACCCCUGAGGUCCACAACCCCUGAGUCCCACCACCCCCCUGAGUACCACACCCCCCUGGGUUACCACCACACCCCCUGGGUACCCACACACCCCCUGAGGUACCACACACCCCCUGAGGUACCCCACACACCCCCUGAGGUACCACACACCCCCUGAGUACCACACACCAUGUGUACCACACACCCCCUGAGGUAACACACACCCCUGAUGUACAGUACACACACCCCUGAGGUACCACACACCCCCUGAGGUACCCACACCACCCCUGAGGACACCACACCCCCGAGGUACCACACACCAUGUACCACACACCCCUGAGGUACCACACACCUCGAGUACCACACACCUGUACCACACACCCAUGAGGUACCCAACACCUCUGAGGUACCACACACCCCCUGAGGUACCACACAACACAUGUUACCCACUCACCCCCUGAGGUACCACACACCCCCCUGAGUACCACACCACCCCCUGAGGUCCCACACACCCCCUGAG
ensembl:lncRNA